UAAAUCAACAUAAUUCCUAAAUAGAAUUUGAAUCUUCUUCUACUGCUUCAAGUUGCAGAUAUGUCCUUUUCAACACAUACAAGGUCCAUUUUCCACAGAUUAAAAUAAUGAAGAUUGGAUAUAAUUAACAUAGGGAGCUCACUAUUUGUUCACUACCUAAAUGAGUUAAUAUGGACUACAUAACAAUAUUAACAAAAACAUCAUCAUUGACCUUAACAUAAAAUUCGGCAUUCCAAUUCCCUACAGCAUUUAUAAAGAAUAAUUUUGUC
rnacentral:misc_RNA from 1 species